UACGUAGGGCGCAAGCGUUAUCCGGAAUUAUUGGGCGUAAAGAGCUCGUAGGCGGUUUGUCGCGUCUGCCGUGAAAGUCCGGGGCUCAACUCCGGAUCUGCGGUGGGUACGGGCAGACUAGAGUGAUGUAGGGGAGACUGGAAUUCCUGGUGUAGCGGUGAAAUGCGCAGAUAUCAGGAGGAACACCGGUGGCGAAGGCGCCACUCUGGGCCGGUACUGACGCUGAGGAGCGAAAGCGUGGGUAGCAAACAGG
rnacentral:rRNA from 1 species